rnacentral:rRNA from 1 species
UACGGGAGGCAGCAGUGGGGGAAUAUUGCACAAUGGGCGCAAGCCUGAUGCAGCCAUGCCGCGUGUAUGAAGAAGGCCUUCGGGUUGUAAAGUACUUUCAGUCGUGAGGAAGGUGUUAAGGUUAAUAACCUUAGCAAUUGACGUUAGCGACAGAAGAAGCACCGGCUAACUCCGUGCCAGCAGCCGCGGUAAUACGGAGGGUGCGAGCGUUAAUCGGAAUUACUGGGCGUAAAGGGCACGCAGGCGGUUAAUUAAGUUGGAUGUGAAAUCCCCGGGCUUAACCUGGGAAUGGCAUUCAAGACUGGUUAGCUAGAGUCUUGUAGAGGGGGUAGAAUUCCAUGUGUAGCGGUGAAAUGCGUAGAGAUGUGGAGGAAUACCGGUGGCGAAGGCGGCCCCUGGACAAAGACUGACGCUCAUGUGCGAAAGCGUGGGGAGCGAAAC